GGAGCCCCGUUGAAAGAGAACUUUGUCGCAUCGAGGAUGGCGACAGAACCCUGCAUCUAAGCACUACUCAGGAUUGCUAGUGUGUUUUAUGCAUGUUUCGUGUCGCAGGCGAUGCGAUACAAUGGUGAGAGGAGAUCCAAGAUCAUACUUGAUGCACAAUUUGGAACCAGCCAUCGCUAACCAUCACGGCAUUCGCUUGGAGAAGGUAGCAUUGAAGGCGGGUAGCAUAGAUCAUAGCGGAUGGACUGUUUCUCGACGAUCUGGAGCAAAGGGUCUCAUCUCAUCCGGACCUCUCGUGCUUGGAGACUUUAUCUCAGAACCAACUGGACAAGCAUGAUGAACUUGGCCUGCCCUGCAUCCCAGUAACCGAUAGCUAUCGUACUGUCAUCAUUCGAAGUUGGCGCCCAGCGAUUUCGGCCUCGCCCCAGAACAAACGCACGGCUGCUGCUUCAGCUGGGGCGAGCACAAAAUGGCUGCGCGCCAACUACGAAUGAUGAGAGCGAGAGUGCUGUCGGUUACCGGGACGGAGGGCGGGCCAAGCUCCUCGUACCUGUCCAGUUGGCUCUUGGAUAAUGUCUCCAGGCCCGUGCUCCUGGCUCUCCAAGUAAGAGAGCUUCGAUAUGUUUGCACCAGUUGUGAAACAAAAACGCAAACAAAGAUACAAAUUAAAAUAGAGAGAUGACGACGACAA